AGGUAUUCGUUUAGCUUGUGGAAAAUAAUGACCAAUAAGCAUUAGUUCUAUUUCGGUUGCCCUGGCCACUUUUCAUUACAUUGUUUGAGCUUCAGCUGCUUGUGUUGUUUGGGCAUUUUCCAGAUUCAAUUUUUCUCGAACGCCAACACGGCGGGAAGUCGGUUUUCCGCUGCCAAUUGUUUACACGAAAACUAUAAACAAAGCAAACACACGACGUCCGUCUUCGCGCUGAUUCCUGCCUGCUCCCAUUGAUGUUAUUUUUGGCCAGUGGGCAUGAGGCUGCACCAAAUCUUCCAUCCUCUCCAGCCGACCAUACUAUAUGCGUUCCACAUAGCAGUACCAGCCGGUCAGAUGAAGAUGUAAAUGCUGGGGACCCAUAUGAUGGAGCUGGAGAAGGGGACGGUAUUGGGAAUGGGCAUGGGGAUGGGCCCGGAGGUGGAGAUGGAGGUGGGAUGGUUGGAUGAGCAGGGCUGAAUACUUAAAGGUGGCACAUACGCAUCGUUCGAUUCGGAUGCGGUCCGAUUCCUGGCAUUCUGUUUAUGCAACAAUAAAUUUUACAUUUAAUUUUCGAUACAUUUGCCAAGUCGAAGAUGCCCCGAUUUGGAUCCAUUGGAUCGCUGAAGGCGGACGAAGC
ensembl:ncRNA lncRNA:CR43977 long non-coding RNA:CR43977